UACGUAGGGCGCAAGCGUUGUCCGGAAUUAUUGGGCGUAAAGAGCUCGUAGGCGGCCUGUUACGUCUGCUGUGAAAUCCCGGGGCUUAACCCCGGGCGUGCAGUGGAUACGGGCAGGCUGGAGGCAGGCAGGGGAGAACGGAAUUCCCGGUGUAGCGGUGAAAUGCGCAGAUAUCAGGAGGAACACCGGUGACGAAGGCGGGUCUCUGGGCAGUAACUGACGCUGAGGAGCGAAAGCGUGGGGAGCAAACAGG
rnacentral:rRNA from 1 species